GGGGAACAAACUGUAACCCAGAGGUAGAGUAACUGCUUUGCACUCAGGAGGUCACGAGUUCAAUUCCCGGCAUCUCCA